UAACACAUGCAAGUCGAGGGGCAGCAUGUUCUUAGCUUGCUAAGGCCGAUGGCGGCCGGCGCACGGGUGAGUAACACGUAUCCAACCUGCCGUCUACUCUUGGACAGCCUUCUGAAAGGAAGAUUAAUACAAGAUGGCAUCAUGAGUCCGCAUGUUCACAUGAUUAAAGGUAUUCCGGUAGACGAUGGGGAUGCGUUCCAUUAGAUAGUAGGCGGGGUAACGGCCCACCUAGUCUUCGAUGGAUAGGGGUUCUGAGAGGAAGGUCCCCCACAUUGGAACUGAGACACGGUCCAAACUCCUACGGGAGGCAGCAGUGAGGAAUAUUGGUCAAUGGGCGAGAGCCUGAACCAGCCAAGUAGCGUGAAGGAUGACUGCCCUAUGGGUUGUAAACUUCUUUUAUAAAGGAAUAAAGUCGGGUAUGGAUACCCGUUUGCAUGUACUUUAUGAAUAAGGAUCGGCUAACUCCGUGCCAGCAGCCGCGGUAAUACGGAGGAUCCGAGCGUUAUCCGGAUUUAUUGGGUUUAAAGGGAGCGUAGAUGGAUGUUUAAGUCAGUUGUGAAAGUUUGCGGCUCAACCGUAAAAUUGCAGUUGAUACUGGAUAUCUUGAGUGCAGUUGAGGCAGGCGGAAUUCGUGGUGUAGCGGUGAAAUGCUUAGAUAUCACGAAGAACUCCGAUUGCGAAGGCAGCCUGCUAAGCUGCAACUGACAUUGAGGCUCGAAAGUGUGGGUAUCAAACAGGAUUAGAUACCCUGGUAGUCCACACGGUAAACGAUGAAUACUCGCUGUUUGCGAUAUACUGCAAGCGGCCAAGCGAAAGCGUUAAGUAUUCCACCUGGGGAGUACGCCGGCAACGGUGAAACUCAAAGGAAUUGACGGGGGCCCGCACAAGCGGAGGAACAUGUGGUUUAAUUCGAUGAUACGCGAGGAACCUUACCCGGGCUUAAAUUGCAGAUGAAUUACGGUGAAAGCCGUAAGCCGCAAGGCAUCUGUGAAGGUGCUGCAUGGUUGUCGUCAGCUCGUGCCGUGAGGUGUCGGCUUAAGUGCCAUAACGAGCGCAACCCUUGUUGUCAGUUACUAACAGGUUCCGCUGAGGACUCUGACAAGACUGCCAUCGUAAGAUGUGAGGAAGGUGGGGAUGACGUCAAAUCAGCACGGCCCUUACGUCCGGGGCUACACACGUGUUACAAUGGGGGGUACAGAGGGCCGCUACCACGCGAGUGGAUGCCAAUCCCCAAAACCUCUCUCAGUUCGGACUGGAGUCUGCAACCCGACUCCACGAAGCUGGAUUCGCUAGUAAUCGCGCAUCAGCCACGGCGCGGUGAAUACGUUCCCGGGCCUUGUACACACCGCCCGUCAAGCCAUGGGAGCCGGGGGUACCUGAAGUGCGUAACCGCGAGGAGCGCCCUAGGGUAAAACUGGUGACUGGGGCUAAAUC
rnacentral:rRNA from 1 species